CCAGCUCUGAAGGCAGUGCAGAAGUAAGGGUGGUAUGCCCAUGAGCAAUGUUCCCUCUAAUUUUUGACAGGCUGUGUGCACAAAAAAUUUCUUCUGUACAAAUUUUUGAAGCAGAGUUCAAAUUUGUGUGCCAUGAGGCAAAUGCGCCCAAGCGAAUAAAAUGCAUAUACAUUAUCCCUUUCUCCCCCUUGCCAGCUAGUAGAAUCUGGCUGUGUUGAUAGAUGGCUGGCGAACAAUGUCAAAAGUCGCCCGUAAAUGAUAUUUUGGCCUGGCUCCGAUGUAGUAUUUCAUUUUUUGAGCGCGCGGUGUUUCGCCGUGUGUG